rnacentral:rRNA from 1 species
GAUGAACGCUGGCGGCGUGCCUAAUACAUGCAAGUCGAGCGAACAGACGAGGAGCUUGCUCCUCUGACGUUAGCGGCGGACGGGUGAGUAACACGUGGAUAACCUACCUAUAAGACUGGGAUAACUUCGGGAAACCGGAGCUAAUACCGGAUAAUAUAUUGAACCGCAUGGUUCAAUAGUGAAAGACGGUUUUGCUGUCACUUAUAGAUGGAUCCGCGCCGCAUUAGCUAGUUGGUAAGGUAACGGCUUACCAAGGCGACGAUGCGUAGCCGACCUGAGAGGGUGAUCGGCCACACUGUAACUGAGACACGUUCCAGACUCCUACGGGAGGCAGCAGUAGGGAAUCUUCCGCAAUGGGCGAAAGCCUGACGGAGCAACGCCGCGUGAGUGAUGAAGGUCUUCUGAUCGUAAAACUCUGUUAUUAGGGAAGAACAAAUGUGUAAGUAACUAUGCACGUCUUGACGGUACCUAAUCAGAAAGCCACGGCUAACUACGUG